AGAGCUACCCCAAACACACCUGAUCUGGUUUUGGAAGUGAAACAGGGUCAAGCCUGGUUAGUUCUUGGAUGGGAGACCACCAGGGACUAGUAGGAACCUCUC
rnacentral:rRNA from 1 species